rnacentral:rRNA from 1 species
AGGACGAACGCUGGCGGCGUGCUUAACGACAUGCAAGUCGAGCGGAAAGGCCCUUCGGGGUACUCGAGCGGCGAACGAGUGAGUAACACGUGAGCAACCUGCCCUUAGCUCCGGGAUAGCUCCGGGAAACCGGAAUUAAUACCGGAUACGACCACGGCCGACAUCUGCUGUGGUGGAAAGGAUUCCGGCUAAGGAUGGGCUCGCGGCCUAUCAGCUAGUUGGUGGAGUAACGGCCCACCAAGGCGACGACGGGUAGCCGGCCUGAGAGGGCGACCGGCCACACUGGGACUGAGACACGGCCCAGACUCCUACGGGAGGCAGCAGUGGGGAAUAUUGCGCAAUGGGCGAAAGCCUGACGCAGCGACGCCGCGUGGGGGAUGAAGGCCUUCGGGUUGUAAACCCUUUCAGCAGGGACGAAGCGAAAGUGACGGUACCUGCAGAAGAAGCGCCGGCUAACUACGUGCCAGCAGCCGC